rnacentral:lncRNA from 1 species
AAAAUGUAACAGCAAAAGUAAAUCAAACUUUUAUACAGUAUGAAAGGGGUGACUUGUAAAAUAACCACUUCUUCUGCCUUAAUAAAAGGACUUUGUGUUUACCCAUAAUCCUUUGCUGCUGAGAUAUUAUUAUACUAGUGCUUUAAUGGUGUUCUGAUUCAUUUUUUGUAUGAUAUUAAUUCAUCCAGUUUUUGGAAAGUUGUGGGUAUUUUUUUUAGAUGAUUUUUCC